rnacentral:rRNA from 1 species
AUUGAACGCUGGCGGCAGGCUUAACACAUGCAAGUCGAGCGGGGGAGGUUGCCUCGGUAACUGACCUAGCGGCGGACGGGUGAGUAAAGCUUAGGAAUCUGCCUAUUAGUGGGGGACAACAUUCCGAAAGGGAUGCUAAUACCGCAUACGCCCUACGGGGGAAAGCAGGGGAUCUUCGGACCUUGCGCUAAUAGAUGAGCCUAAGUCGGAUUAGCUAGUUGGUGGGGUAAAGGCCUACCAAGGCGACGAUCUGUAGCGGGUCUGAGAGGAUGAUCCGCCACACUGGGACUGAGACACGGCCCAGACUCCUACGGGAGGCAGCAGUGGGGAAUAUUGGACAAUGGGGGGAACCCUGAUCCAGCCAUGCCGCGUGUGUGAAGAAGGCCUUUUGGUUGUAAAGCACUUUAAGCGAGGAGGAGGCUUACCUGGUUA